UUUUUUUUUUUUUUGAGACAAGUUUCUCUGUGUAGCUCUGGCAGUCCUGGGUCUCAUUCUGUAGACUAGGCUGGCCUGGAACUCAGAGAUCCCCCUUCCUCUGCCUCUUGAGUGCUAGGAUUACCAACGUGCACCACCACUGCCCAGCUAACCAAUCCAGUUUUAUUAGCUGAUUCUCAGCCACUGAAUAUUUUAGCUAGUUCUGCAUAUUGUACUCAAGCUGUUGUUUUAGAAACUGUAGGACUUAAACCCAACCCCACUACUAAUGUUAUUCCAUAAUGAUUUAUCUAGCUUCAGAUGUCUGUAAGACAAUGACCUCAGGUUUUCCUAACUCAGUAUGUUCAUUCUUAUCUGGCAGGUACCUUAACAUCCACUAAUGCUCCAGUUGAUGUGCUUGCCUCCUCACCACCAAUACUUUCCAGGCCACUCAAAAAUCUCAUGAACUUCUUCACUUCUUGUUCUUUCACACCACUGCCCUCUUCUUGUGGAAUUAAUUCUCAAGGGUUAAAUUGCAACAGUCAGAAAUUGGACAUUUCAAAUAUGUUCAUGUAAUGGUUAAUACUUUUUCUAAUAUGAUUGUUGCUUCUUGGCUUCAGGGCUAAAACACUCCUGGGUCUCAUUAGUCAUUUAUUAUACUCUAUUUUCUUUCUAGAACUCUUCUUACAACUGAUAACUGAUAGUGGGUCCUGCUUAUACUAGCAAAAGUUUGAAGGAGUUUUGCAAAUUGUGGAAUAGUGAUUGUAUUACUAGAAUUCUUAUAAUCCACAGGGUAAAGUUAUUCCAGAAUGACACAUUUCAAAUACUUAAAACACAAAAUUUAAAAGUAAAAAUGGGGGUUUAUACAGCCACCUAAAUUCCCACAUACCAUGCUACAUUUAACUAUGCUAACUUUAAUUUUUCACAUUAACUAGUUAAUUAACUUUCAUUUUAUGUGCAUUGGUGUUUUGCCUCAUGUAUGUUUGUGUGAGGAUGUAAGAUCUUGGAGUUACAGACAGCUUUGCCCUGGGGGCGCUGGGAUUUGAGCUUGGCUCCUCUGGAAGAGCAGUCAGUGUCCUUAACUGCUGAGCCAUCUUUCCAGCCCUGGUUUUCUUUACUCUAUAAAGAUAGUGCUGCUUCUGUUGCUCAAAAGCAUUUUCCCUAAAGGAAACAUAGCCUCAAGGAUAUGUUAAAUCCUAAACUCAUCCGUGGAAGGAACCAGAUGCUCUUUAACAUCAGGCUGGGGCUAUGCAUCCCAUCGUUUGAAGGAACAAACCCUGUGCGUUUAAGUUUCCUGGCUCCUCUAGUGCAGUGGUUCUCAACCUGUGGAUUGGGACCCUUUUAUGGGUGCAUCUCAGAUGUCCUGCUUAUCAGAUAUUUACAUGAUGAUUCAUAAUUAGCAAAACUACAGUUUUGGAGUAGCAAUGAAAUAAUCUUAUGGUUGGGAGUCACCACAGCACCAGGAACUGUAUUAAAGGGUUGUGGCAUUAGGAAGGCUGAGAACUGCUAUGAUGAUUUGGGGCUCUUUAGAGCUUCCUCUAAGUUUCAGUUUGCUUUUUCUUUCACUCUCACGUUCUCAAAAUACAGUGCAAUUAUCUAUUGGUUGUUGGAUGAGUGAUAUAGUAAGCAGACCAGAGGCCUCAGGGGCCUUGGUGAUAGUUUAGUAUUUAUGCCCAUUUAUUGG
rnacentral:lncRNA from 1 species